ACGACUCUCGACAACGGAUAUCUCGGCUCUCGCAUCGAUGAAGAACGUAGCGAAAUGCGAUACUUGGUGUGAAUUGCAKAAUCCCGUGAACCAUCGAGUCUUUGAACGCAAGUUGCGCCUGAAACCAUUAGGUUGAGGGCACGUCUGCCUGGGUGUCACGU
rnacentral:rRNA from 1 species